rnacentral:rRNA from 1 species
CCUACGGGUGGCAGCAGUGAGGAAUAUUGGUCAAUGGACGCAAGUCUGAACCAGCCAUGCCGCGUGCAGGAAGAAGGCACUAAGAGUUGUAAACUGCUUUUGUACGAGGGUAAAUCCCGAUACGUGUACCGUGUUGAGUGUACCUUACGAAUAAGGAUCGGCUAACUCCGUGCCAGCAGCCGCGGUAAUACGGAGGAUUCAAGCGUUAUCCGGAUUUAUGGGGUUUAAAGGGUGCGUAUGCGGUUGGGUAAGUUAGGGGGUAAAUCCCGGGGCUCAACUCCGGCACUGCCUCUGCUACUGUCGGGCUAGAGUUUAGUAGAGGUAGGCGGAAUGUUUGGUGUAGCGGUGAAAUGCAUAGAGAUCCGUCAGAACCCCGAUUGCGAAGGCAGCUUACCGGACUACGACUGACGUUGAGGCACGAAAGCGUGGGGAGCAAACAGGAUUAGAUACCCGGGUAGUC